GGGGUAGGUAGGGUCAGGGGGUAGGUAGGGUCAGGGGUUAGGUAGGGUAAGUGGGUAGGGUAAGUGGGUAGGCAGAGUCAGGGGGUGGGCAGGGUCAGGGGUUAGGUAGGGUCAGGGGGUAGACAGGAUAAAGAGGGGUAUAUAUCUGUGCAGCAGGCGAGGCCAGUGUCAGGGUGUAGGUAAGGUCAUAGGUGAGGCUCCUUCUUCAUCAGGAGACUCCUGUCCUGGCAGCCUCAAGUCCUGACAGACUCCUGUCCUUCCUGGCAGACCGCUGUCCUUCCUGGCAGACCUCUGUCCUUCCUGACAGACCGCUGUCCUUCCUGGCAGACCGCUGUCCUUCCUGGCAGACUGCUGUCCUUCCUGGCAGACUGCUGUCCUUCCUGGCAGACUGCUGUCCUUCCUGGCAGACUGCUGUCCUUCCUGGCAGACUCCCUCCCAUUCACCCCCCAGACACCUUUCUGUUUCUACUGUUCCCAAAGAAAAUGUUCUUCCCAUUGUUGUUGUUCCCAAUUUUGAAAAGAUUUGGUUUCAGAUCCUCAAAAAAAUGUAUCCAGCUGCAUCAUUGAGAGCAUCUUGACUGACUGCAUCACUGCUUGGUACGGUAAGUGCAUCACUGUCGACCGCAUGGCGCUACAGAUGGUGGUGCGGACAGCCCAGUACAGCACUGGGGUCGAGUUCCUUUCCAUUCAGUACCUCCAUAUCAAAACGGUGGGAAAGGAAGACAUGGAAAUAUGUCUAAGACUCAAGCAACUGUUCUCUCUGCUACCGAAUGGCAAGAGGUACCGGAGCACCAAGUCUGAUACCAACAGGCUCCUGAACAGCUUCUACCCCCAAGCCAUCAGACUGCUGAACAGCUUCUACCUCCAAGCCAUCAGACUGCUGAACAGCUUCUACCCCAAAGCCAUCAGACUGCUGAACAGCUUCUACCCCCAAGCCAUCAGACUGCUGAACAGCUUCUAUCCCGAAGCCAUCAGACUGCUGAACAGCUUCUAUCCCCAACCCAUCAGACUGCUAAACAGCUUCUACCCCCAAGUCAUCAGACUGCUGAACAGCUUCUACCCCCAAGCCAUCAGACUGCUGAACAGCUCCUACCCCCAAGCCAUCAGACUGCUGAACAGCUUCUACCCCCAAGCCAUCAGACUGCUGAACAGCUUCUACCCCCAAGCCAUCACACUGCUGAACAGCUUCUACCCCCAAGCCAUCAGUCUGCUGAACAGCUUCUACACCCAAGCCAUCAGACUGCUGAACAUCUAACAAAAAAUACCUACAUGGACUAUCUGCAUUGACCCUUUUAUUAAAUUUUUGCAGUGACUCUAUGCACACUCAAAAGGACUCUACACACUCACACUGAGACUCCAACACACAUUUGCCCACAAACACAUUCAUACUGACUCUACACAUAUGCAAGCAUACACACUCCCGUAGAAUCGCUGCUGCUACUCUGUUUAUCAGAUAUCCUGAUAUCUAGUCUCCUUACUCCUAUAUAUACAGUGCCUUGCGAAAGUAUUCGGCCCCCUUGAACUUUGUGACCUUUUGCCACAUUUCAGGCUUCAAACAUAAAGAUAUAAAACUGUAUUUUUUUGUGAAGAAUCAACAACAAGUGGGACACAAUCAUGAAGUGGAACGACAUUUAUUGGAUAUUUCAAACUUUUUUAACAAAUCAAAAACUGAAAAAUUGGGCGUGCAAAGUUCAAGGGGGCCGAAUACUUUCGCAAGGCACUGUAUCUACCUCCAUCACUCCAGUAUCCCUGUACAUUGUUAAUAUGGUACUGGACCUAUUAAUUAAAGAUGACAUAAUAUUUAUGGACCAGAAGAACAUUAUUUAAAGAUACAUAAUAUUUACAGUAGUGGUCAAACAUUUGGACACACCUACCCAUUCAAGUUAUGGUAUACAGAAGAUAGCCCUAUUUGGUAAAAGAC
ensembl:lncRNA